GGUUUAGGAAACCUAAGAUACGUAUUGGAGAAAUGGAGAGAAGAGGAGAUUUUGCCACUGCAACACCCCAACCCACCGAUCUUACCAGAGAACGAUCAAGCAUCAGACUUGUUUUUGCUCCGACAGAUUACAUCAUUGCAUGAGUCCCCAAAUGGUUAUGCAAUUCCCUUAUUUUGAUGGUAAGAGGAGUGUGAUUAGGCAAUCAAUGACAUUCAGAGGAAGUACGAUGUCGAAAAGCUGGAAAUUGUUAAUCAAUACAAGGAAAAGGCAGACAAAUCCAUUGAAUAAAUGGAAAGAAAAUUGUGACCUGAGAAUUGAAGAGAGCAAAGAAGAAUCAAGGCAAUAUUUGAAGCAUGUUCAGGAGGAACAUGUUGAUUUGUACAUUUAAGAUUGGUGUUCAAUUAUAAAGUUGUAGAAUUGAUCUAUCUUUCUUCUAUGUUCACGGUUCAUGUGAUGAUGGAUGACCAAUGUUAUCAUUCCUUUCAUCU